rnacentral:pre_miRNA from 1 species
UGCUCUGGAUUAGGCUUUGGCUUAAGUGAAUGUUGUGGCUGGUUUGAUCUUCUAUCCAGACCACUCAGACUUUUUCCAUAUCAGC